rnacentral:lncRNA from 10 species
GUUGGAUUUCCCAGGGUCUGGCCUCUUCUCAACCCUCUGAGAGGCACACCAGCAUCUGGGCAACAUUCCUGCCAUAGGCUUGGCAAUAGACGCUCCAAAACUCAGAAUCCUCAGAAACAUUGCCUCCUGAAUACCUCCUCUCAGUGGUGCAGGUAUGUUUUUCUUGAGUUAAAAAAAAUACAAUCAGGUGAAAACUCAGCAGAGACUUGGAAAAUGCAAUGCCAUAAAAGGGGCAAAACGACUUGUGUACAUCCCCCUCAAAGAAACUGUGGAUUGAAGGAGGAAAGUUUAAUGACUAAUGCCUUGGCAAGCCACAAUCCAGUUUGGACUACUAAAGAUCCUGACUUUUACCAGACUACAUUUGUAUAUUCCUGUUAUUGGUACAAUUAUAAUGGUAUCAAUUUAAAUUCCAAACCUGAAGCCGUGUCCCAGAGCCCUCUCUUGCUUCCCUGUGUAUCCCAUCUGGCCUUCCCUCUUCAAAUACUCCUUCCAUGCAUGCAUAAGGGUGCCUAUUUUCUUGGAUGAGAAAAAUGCUCCUGAAGUAUUACUAUUAAUAACAUCAUUAGAACAGACAUACUUACUUUUAGAAUAAACCAACAAAAUGAAUCCUUCUUCUGUGCCAGGGU